AACGAACGCUGGCGGCAGGCCUAACACAUGCAAGUCGAGCGCACCCUUCGGGGCGAGCGGCGGACGGGUUAGUAACGCGUGGGAACAUACCUUUCACUACGGAAUAGCCUCGGGAAACUGAGAGUAAUACCGUAUACGCCCUUCGGGGGAAAGAUUUAUCGGUGAAAGAUUGGCCCGCGUAAGAUUAGAUAGUUGGUGGGGUAAUGGCCUACCAAGUCUACGAUCUUUAGCUGGUUUUAGAGGAUGAUCAGCAACACUGGGACUGAGACACGGCCCAG
rnacentral:rRNA from 1 species